AGUGAACGCUGGCGGUAGGCCUAACACAUGCGAGUCGAACGGCAGCACAGUAAGAGCUUGCUCUUACGGGUGGCGAGUGGCGGACGGGUGAGGAAUACAUCGGAAUCUACUUUUUCGUGGGGGAUAACGUAGGGAAACUUACGCUAAUACCGCAUACGACCUACGGGUGAAAGCAGGGGAUCUUCGGACCUUGCUCGAUUGAAUGAGCCGAUGUCGGAUUAGCUAGUUGGCGGGGUAAAGGCCCACCAAGGCGACGAUCCGUAGCUGGUCUGAGAGGAUGAUCAGCCACACUGGAACUGAGACACGGUCCAGACUCCUACGGGAGGCAGCAGUGGGGAAUAUUGGACAAUGGGCGCAAGCCUGAUCCAGCCAUACCGCGUGGGUGAAGAAGGCCUUCGGGUUGUAAAGCCCUUUUGUUGGGAAAGAAAAGCAGCAGGUUAAUACCCCGCUGUUCUGACGGUACCCAAAGAAUAAGCACCGGCUAACUUCGUG
rnacentral:rRNA from 1 species